ACUUCUUAACCAACGGAUCUCAGAGUUGUGCUGCAGGUUCAUAACAGUAAUGGGCAGAGGACAAACAGCUGUCCAUGCCUUCACUUUCGCGCCAAUGAUGUUUGGAGAUCAAAAGAGGGUAUCUUCUUCAUCAUUCAACCCUCCAAUAUUGUAUUUGAUCACUUGAUUAUAGGCAUUCGCUCAUUCUUGCAACUAAUUUUCCCCACUCCUUUUCUUCUCUUCACUGACCUUUGAUGGCUUCAAGAAUUGCACAAUAAUCUCUAACUUCUAUUGUCAAGAUGUGGGUACUAGAUGCUUCUUCAGGCAGUUUCCUAUCACAAGAAUCCAUCAAUAUGAAGUUUAUGAGACUAUGCAGCCCUGGAUUCAAGUUCUCGAUUCUCUCCAAGAUGGGUGAAGAUAGCAUCCUAUCAUUCAAAAGAAUUCAUUCAAUGGACUCAUAACUAGUGGGUAAACCUGCGGCACGGCCCGGAGCUUAUUGGAUAAGAACCGAAGAAGUGUAGGAGCGGAACAACCAUUUACCGAAGUGGAGCUUCAGAUCACGUGACUACUCACCCCGAUCACCAGUGAGCAAAGUGAGCAAGUGAGCAGCUUUAGCAGAAUAAUUUGUAUGGGAACUCAAAUGUAUUUAAACACACUCAUUACCC
rnacentral:sRNA from 1 species